rnacentral:rRNA from 1 species
CAACCCCUUGAGAGUGGCGAACGGGUGAGUAAUAUAUCGGAACGUGCCCAGUCGUGGGGGAUAACGUAGCGAAAGUUACGCUAAUACCGCAUACGAUCUAUGGAUGAAAGCGGGGGACCGUAAGGCCUCGCGCGAUUGGAGCGGCCGAUAUCAGAUUAGGUAGUUGGUGGGGUAAAGGCUCACCAAGCCAACGAUCUGUAGCUGGUCUGAGAGGACGACCAGCCACACUGGAACUGAGACACGGUCCAGACUCCUACGGGAGGCAGCAGUGGGGAAUUUUGGACAAUGGACGCAAGUCUGAUCCAGCCAUUCCGCGUGCAGGAUGAAGGCCCUCGGGUUGUAAACUGCUUUUGUACGGAACGAAAAGGUCUCUAUUAAUACUGGGGGCUCAUGACGGUACCGUAAGAAUAAGCACCGGCUAACUACGUGCCAGCAGCCGCGGUAAUACGUAGGGUGCAAGCGUUAAUCGGAAUUACUGGGCGUAAAACGUGCGCAGGCGGUUAUGUAAGACAGAGGUGAAAUCCCCGGGCUUAACCUGGGAACUGCCUUUGUGACUGCAUAGCUAGAGUACGGUAGAGGGGGAUGGAAUUCCGCGUGUAGCAGUGAAAUGCGUAGAUAUGCGGAGGAACACCGAUGGCGAAGGCAAUCCCCUGGACCUGUACUGACGCUCAUGCACGAAAGCGUGGGGAGCAAACAGGAU